rnacentral:rRNA from 1 species
ACAUGAAGCUGGAAUCGCUAGUAAUCGCAGAUCAGAAUGCUGCGGUGAAUACGUUCCCGGGUCUUGUACACACCGCCCGUCACACCAUGGGAGUUGGGAAUGCCCGAAGUCAAUGACCCAACCGCAAGGAGGGAGCUGCCGAAGGCAGGCUUGAUAACUGGGGUGAAGUCGUAACAAGGUAUC